rnacentral:rRNA from 1 species
UGGGGUAUAUUGCACAAUGGGGGAAACCCUGAUGCAGCGACGCCGCGUGAACGAAGAAGGUAUUCGUAUCGUAAAGUUCUGUCCUAUGGGAAGAUAAUGACAGUACCAUAGAAGAAAGCUCCGGCUAAAUACGUGCCAGCAGCCGCGGUAAUACGUAUGGAGCGAGCGUUGUCCGGAAUUAUUGGGCGUAAAGGGUACGCAGGCGGUUUAAUAAGUCGAAUGUUAAAGAUCGGGGCUCAACCCCGUAAAGCAUUGGAAACUGAUAAACUUGAGUAGUGGAGAGGAAAGUGUAAUUCCUAGUGUAGUGGUGAAAUACGUAGAUAUUAGGAGGAAUACCAGUAGCGAAGGCGACUUUCUGGACACAAACUGACGCUGAGGUACGAAAGCGUGGGGAGCAAACAGG